AAAAAAAUUGAAAAAAUUUGAAAACAAACUGUCAAGCAAGUGAAAUAAAUUAACAAAAUGGCACCAUAAAGCUAACAUAUGAGCGAGUCCUUGAUUUUGUCGAGCAGCUCUCUUCUCAUUCCGACGCAAAAAUCUAUAUAAAUUUUCUAGACGCUCUUGACGCUGACUUCAGUUCGCGUGGUGCUUUUGUUUUGAAAUAACUUUUCAAUUAUUUAGAAAUAAGUGCACAUGACAGCACAAAAACAAAGCAAACUUAAUAGGCCUGCACAUGUAGUUAUUGUGCUAGCAGAGAAAGAAUAACAACUUGUCGAUUGACUUUGUGCUGCCCAAGGACUGCAGUUGCAAAACUCUAACACAAGAGUGUGUUCAGCUUACCAAUAACCCAAGAACCCGCUAGGUUUAUGUCUACAGGCGCAAGCCGCAGGACGAAUGUUAACGGGCAGCCGACGCAGCGGGGCAGUUGGCGUGGAGUUCGGCCAAUGGGCCCAAACCAACAAGAGCCAAUGCCAAACAGAUAAGAGCGCAUAUUUUAUUUGCAUACUUUUAGGCUGACUUUGGCGGGCGCAGCGUUUGGAAAGCCAUUUGCCAGCAGAAAUGCCAUGAGUAUGUGUCUACAAAAAAGUCAAACAAAAUAAAAAGGAAUCCUAUGAAAAGCACACACACUCGAACACACAGUCCCAUAUUGCAGGCCGCUUAACAAUCGAAAAUCAAAACAAAGGCUAGAGCAAAGCGGAAAUAUGUGAAAUGCGAACUUUUACAAAGAUUGACAAGUGGCGACUGGCCCGUUUAAAAUGUCAAAUACGUACAAUGUUGCCGCGACUUUUCAUGCAAACAGCGGCGUCGAGGAGCGAGAAGGAGAUUGUGUGUGUACUGGCGACAGGGGGGAGGGGGCGGUGCUACGUGCUGUUGGUUUUUUGGCG